UCAUACUUCUUGGGUUAUAUCACACUUAUUAUAUAGGAUGGGAAUGUAUAUAGUGGGAAAAAAAGCCACACUGACCCGGUGGCCUGCUGGCUGAAUUUACUGAGAUUCAGGGGAGAACUCAAACUGUGGGUUUCCAUAUUUGCUCCAGACAAAUCUUAGCUAAUUCAAGUAGGACCAUUUUAAAAACUGAAGCAGUCAUGUUGCUGCUCUUCUGCUCAGUCUCACAGACUACGCAGAGGACAGAACUUCCUCAAUUUGAUCAGUUUUUUGUGUGAUGAAAAAACUGUGAUGUGGUCCCAAUGAGAGGGACACAGGGUGCAGAGCAGCCUGGGAACAGGCGUUGGAGGGUAAAGGGUGCUGGCUGGGUAGCUGUCACAACGGACUCCUGUUUUUGAACUAUAGGUGCAUUUCUAAGAGGAGCGUAAGAUCAGUCCACAUCUUCUAGGACAGAGGAUUGAAAAGCAAUAAUCGACAAUAAUCUUGAUGCCACUGAGUACAAGCUCCAGUGUAUUCCCAACUCUUGCUUCUCUCCCCACCCCUCACCUGAGGUACAGCUGAGGGAAUCGAAUCCACGGUGGUAUCAGGUGAUCCCAUGUCUGCGCUGUUUUGUCCAUAGCCAGUUUGAGGAAACUGCAUCGGCAUAAUCACGAAAAGAUGAAACUCAGUGCGAGCAUGGCGACUCUUUCUCCACUUUGUUCUUUCAUCUCGUUCAUGCUUUUGAGAUCCAAAUGAACCAAGCCUGAGCAUCUCGUGUGGAGUGGAGUGUUGGAUUUAGCCAGUCAGAUGAUGGAGGGGCAAUGUCACUGAGGGAAGCUGUGAAUCUGGGAUCCACUAAAAUGGCCAUUGUGCCCUUUCUAAGAAAGAAUUUAUGAAU